rnacentral:rRNA from 1 species
UACUUCCUCUCACCACCGUUACUUCUACUCGUACACCCUUGCGUCGCAGUAGCCGCAGGUACAACGCUGGCCGGAGUUGUAGUUCUUCCGCAGUGUGAUUCGACAGAUAUGUAGUAGGGGUGGUGGGGUCGACGCAGUAACGAUGUAAACCUGAGGUACCCUAAACUACUCGAACAACGAGAAGACUUUCAGGUAUAACACUACGGUUUGUACUCACCGCCCGCCCUCACGGUUCCCACCGCCCUCUGGACCGUAGAUGGAUCUAACCAAUAUAUAUGAAACCGUUACAAUGGACACCUUUAUCCUUACUAAAAGACU